rnacentral:rRNA from 1 species
UAAUCGAUAAACCACGAAAAAUCUUACCUUUAAUAUUAUUUUGUAUACCGUUAUUAUUAGGUGGCUCUGAGAAGAUUAGACACUAAAAUUUUUGAAAAAAGUAUAUUAGAUCAAGGUGCAGAUCAUAUGAAGGUAAAAAUGGGUUACAAUAAUUCUUGUUUAAAUGAAUUUAUAUGUGAAAAAAUAUAAUGAAGGUGGACUUAGUUGUAAUAAUAUUUUAAUAAGUUAAAAUGAUAUAAAUACUUAAACGUGUACAUAUCGCCCGUCGCUCGCGGGAAAA